AUUGAACGCUGGCGGCAGGCCUAACACAUGCAAGUCGAACGAGCGGCGGAAGGGUGAGUAAUGUAUGGGAAACUGCCCGAUGGAGGGGGAUAACUACUGGAAACGGUAGCUAAUACCGCAUACCAUCGGAUGUGCCCAUAGGGGAUUAGCUUGUAGGUGAGGUAACGGCUCACCUAGGCGGCGAUCCCUAGCUGGUAUGAGAGGAUGACCAGCCACACUGGGACUGAGACACGGCCCAGACUCCUACGGGAGGCAGCAGUGGGGAAUAUUGCACAAUGGGCGCAAGCCUGAUGCAGCCAUGCCGCGUGUAUGAAGAAGGCCUUCGGGUUGUAAAGUACUUUCAGUCGGGAGGCGUUACCCGCAGAAGAAGCACCGGCUAACUCCGUGCCAGCAGCCGCGGUAAUUC
rnacentral:rRNA from 1 species